UACUAGAGUAGCACUCGCAUAUCAAUAAGCGGAGGAAAAGAAACUAACAAGGAUUCCCCUAGUAACGGCGAGUGAAGCGGGAAGAGCUCAAAUUUGAAAUCUUAAAGGGUUUCCCUUUACGAAUUGUAGUUUAAAGAAGUGUUUUCUGUUGAGGUUUUGGUAAAAGUUCUUUGGAAUAGGACAUCAUAGAGGGUGAGAAUCCCGUAUUUGACCUUUACUUUCAACUUUGUGAUACACUUUCAAAGAGUCGGAUUGUUUGGGAAUGCAGUCCAAAAUGGGUGGUAAAUUUCAUCUAAAGCUAGAUAUUGGCGAGAGACCGAUAGCGAACAAGUACCGUGAGGGAAAGAUGAAAAGAACUUUGAAAAGAGAGUUAAACAGUACGUGAAAUUGUCAAAAGGGAAGCGUUUGACACCAGUGUUGUUUUUCUGAAAAUCAAUUAAAGAACUGUUUAUGCUAAGUUGUUUAGACUUUAUCAGCUAUCUGUUUAGUUUUGAGCUUUUCUUUAAUGCACUUUUCAGUUAGCAAGUCAACAUCAAUUUCUUUUGCUGUAAAAAAGCUUGAGGAAGGUGGCUUGAGAUUCGUCUUAAGUGUUUAUAGCCUCUUGCCUAUGCAGUCGGAGAGAUUGAGGUCUGCAGCGUAGAUCCUUCGGGGCUAAAUGCAUUUGUGCUAAGUUAUAGCAUUUUAUAGACAACUUGUUGACUAUGAUUUGUCUUGUAGCUUACUCGCUUAUGUUAUUUUACCUACGCUUAGGAUGUUGAGCGCAUGUCUCUCUCU
rnacentral:rRNA from 1 species